rnacentral:rRNA from 1 species
UACGGGGGGGGCAAGCGUUGUUCGGAAUUACUGGGCGUAAAGGGCUCGUAGGCGGCCAACUAAGUCGGAUGUGAAAUCCCCAGGCUUAACCUGGGAACUGCAUCCGAUACUGGAUGGCUUGAAUUCGGGAGAGGGAUGCAGAAUUCCAGGUGUAGCGGUGAAAUGCGUAGAUAUCUGGAGGAACACCGGUGGCGAAGGCGGCAUCCUGGACCGACACUGACACUGAGGAGCGAAAGCCAGGGGAGCAAACGGG